UACAGAGGUGCCGAGCGUUAGGCGGAAUCACUGGGCUUAAAGCGCGUGUAGGCGGCCCGGUAAGUCCGCUGUGAAAGUCCAGGGCUCAACCCUGGGAUGCCGGUGGAUACUGUCGGGCUCGAGUCCGGAAGAGGCGAGUGGAAUUCCUGGUGUAGCGGUGAAAUGCGCAGAUAUCAGGAGGAACACCAAUGGCGAAGGCAGCUCGCUGGGACGUGACUGACGCUGAGACGCGAAAGCGUGGGGAGCAAACAGG
rnacentral:rRNA from 1 species